rnacentral:rRNA from 1 species
GAUGAACGCUGGCGGUAUGCUUAACACAUGCAAGUCGAACGGAACCUUCGGGUUUAGUGGCGGACGGGUGAGUAACGCGUGAGAAUCUGCCUCUAGGUCGGGGACAACAACUGAAAACGGUUGCUAAUACCCGAUGUGCAGCAAUGUGAAAGAUUUAUUGCCUAGAGAUGAGCUCGCGUCUGAUUAGCUAGUAGGUGUGGUAAUGGCGCACCUAGGCGACGAUCAGUAACUGGUCUGAGAGGAUGACCAGUCACACUGGGACUGAGACACGGCCCAGACUCCUACGGGAGGCAGCAGUGGGGAAUUUUCCGCAAUGGGCGAAAGCCUGACGGAGCAAUACCGCGUGAGGGACGAAGGCUUUUGGGUCGUAAACCUCUUUUCCCUGAGAAGAAGAUCUGACGGUAUCAGGGGAAUCAGCAUCGGCUAACUUCGUGCCAGCAGCCGCGGUAAUACGAGGGAUGCAAGCGUUAUCCGGAAUUAUUGGGCGUAAAGCGUCCGCAGGUGGCUCUGUAAGUCUGUCGUUAAAGAAUGGGGCUCAACCCCAUACAGGCGAUGGAAACUACAAGGCUAGAGUUUGGUAGGGGUCACGGGAAUUCCUAGUGUAGCGGUGAAAUGCGUAGAUAUUAGGAAGAACACCAGCGGCGAAAGCGCGUGACUGGGCCAGUACUGACACUCAUGGACGAAAGCUAGGGGAGCGAAAGGGAUUAGAUACCCCUGUAGUCCUAGCCGUAAACGAUGAUAACUAGGUGUUGCCCG